CUUCCUCUCUCCCUGCUCUUCUGUCCCUCACGCUCCCCUCCCCUCCCCUCUCUUCUGUGCGCUGUUUCUCUCCUUUCUGUUUCUUUUUCCCAUAAUCAACUUGGUCAUUUUCAUCAGAAUUAUCAUCUUUUUUCUGUCAUCACCUCCACCGUUUAUCCUGUAAUUAUAAGGGAUAUGUUAUUUAAUUUGAUGAUUUCUUCUUUGUUACUAUUUAUCAUUAAUAAUUAAUUUAUAAUGUUACAGAUCAAUGCAGUCAGGUCCAGAGGGGUGUGUGCCAGGGGCAGGAGCGAGGCGGUGCUGCUCGGGGUGGACACGGAGCUGUGACGACGCUGAAUCCCUCGUCCAGGCAGCCCGUCCGUGUCAGCUCGCCAUGGCUUCGAGGACGCGCAUUCCUGGCCCUCUCUGGCAGCGACCCCCUGGGUCCCGACACAGCCACCCUCAUGUUCACUUGAAGUGAAAAAAGAUGUUUGGUGAAAUUACUGCAGCCUGGAGCCAAACAACUAACACCAUCUUUAGUUUUGUUUAUUGUAAUAAAAUGUGUUAAUGAAAAAGUGCAAAGAUAGAUAAUAGAAAUUAGUGUACUGUGACAUAAAAUUUUGCUUGAAAAUCAAGGCAAGUACAGUAAAAGCUAAUAUGUUUAAAUGAGCAUUGCAUAAUGUAUAUCUAACAACUAUAAAAAUCAUUUUUAUUGAAGUAUAUCUGCAAAUCAUACAACAUGAAAAAUGACAGCAAUAUGCUUGAGACAGACUAAGUCUAGUCUAUGGAAAUAAAUUUUGAUCAGUAUUUAAAAUUUAUUCUGGAUAAUCACAGGAAACGGGAGUUUAAAAGUUUCUGCACAUACUCUAUUUUUUCCUGUUUGUAUCCAAGUAUCAUUAAAUCUAACUCUAGUAUUGUAAAUUAUUAUAC